GCGUAGGUAGUAUAAUGGUUAUUAUCUCGGUUUCCCAUCACAUGGCCUGGGCCGGGAAUCGAACCCGACCUGCCGUUGACUACCGAGGAACCGGGUUCGAUUCCCGGCCUACGCA